rnacentral:piRNA from 1 species
UGACCAAUAUCUCCAAAAGUGCUGCUGC